AGGAUGAACGCUGGCGGCGUGCCUAAUACAUGCAAGUCGAGCGGUAAGGCCACUUCGGUGGUACACGAGCGGCGGACGGCUGAGUAACGCGUAGGAACGUACCCCAAACUGAGGGAUAAGCACCAGAAAUGGUGUCUAAUACCGCAUGUGGCCUAAGAGCUAAAGCUUCGGCGGUUUGGGAACGGCCUGCGUCCGAUUAGCUAGAUGGUGAGGUAAUGGCUCACCAUGGCGACGAUCGGUAGCUGGUCUGAGAGGAUGAUCAGCCAGACUGGGACUGAGAACGGCCCAGACUCCUACGGGAGGCAGCAGUAGGGAAUUUUCCACAAUGGGCGAAAGCCUGAUGGAGCAACGCGCGUGCAGGAUGAAUGCCUUCGGGUGUAAACUGCUUUUAUCUGUGACGAUAUGACGGUAGCAGAUGAAUAAGGAUCGGCUAACUCCGUGCCAGCAGCCGCGGU
rnacentral:rRNA from 1 species